AUCCCGGGAAAUUAUUGGGGCGGUAAAAAGAAGGCUCGUAGGCGGUUUGUUCGCGUCUGCCGGUGAAAGUCCGGGGCUUAACCCGGAUCUGCGGGUGGGUACGGGCAGACUAGAGUGCAGUAGGGGAGACUGGAAAUUCCUGGUGUAGCGGGUGAAAUGCGCAGAUAUCAGGAGGAACACCGAUGGCGAAGGCAGGUCUCUGGGCUGUAACUGACGCUGAGGAGCGAAAGCAUGGGGAGCGAACAGGAUUAGAUACCCUGGUAGUCCAUGCCGUAAACGUUGGGCACUAGGUGUGGGGGACAUUCCACGUUUUCCGCGCCGUAGCUAACGCAUUAAGUGCCCCGCCUGGGGAGUACGGCCGCAAGGCUAAAACUCAAAGGAAUUGACGGGGGCCCGCACAAGCGGCGGAGCAUGCGGAUUAAUUCGAUGCAACGCGAAGAACCUUACCAAGGCUUGACAUGUUCCUGACCGCCGUAGAGAUACGGUUUCCCCUUUGGGGCAGGUUCACAGGUGGUGCAUGGUUGUCGUCAGCUCGUGUCGUGAGAUGUUGGGUUAAGUCCCGCAACGAGCGCAACCCUCGUUCCAUGUUGCCAGCACGUAAAGGAGAAAAACUCAUGGGAGACUGCCGGGGUCAACUCGGAGGAAGGUGGGGACGACGUCAAAUCAUCAUGCCCCUUAUGUCUUGGGCUUCACGCAUGCUACAAUGGCCGGUACAAUGGGUUGCGAUACUGUGAGGUGGAGCUAAUCCCAAAAAGCCGGUCUCAGUUCGGAUUGGGGUCUGCAACUCGACCCCAUGAAGUCGGAGUCGCUAGUAAUCGCAGAUCAGCAACGCUGCGGUGAAUACGUUCCCGGGCCUUGUACACACCGCCCGUCAAGUCACGAAAGUUGGUAACACCCGAACCGGUGGCCUAACUCCUUGUGGGGGGAGCCGUCGAAGGUGGACGGCGAUGCU
rnacentral:rRNA from 1 species